AACGAACGCUGGCGGCAGGCCUAACACAUGCAAGUCGAGCGAGGACUUCGGUUCUAGCGGCGGACGGGUGAGUAACGCGUGGGAAUGUGCCCUUCUCUACGGAAUAGCCCUGGGAAACUGGGAGUAAUACCGUAUACGCCCUAUUGGGGAAAGAUUUAUCGGAGAAGGAUCAGCCGGAGUUGGAUUAGGUAGUUGGUGGGGUAAUGGCCGACCAAGCCGACGAUCCAUAGCUGGUUUGAGAGGAUGAUCAGCCACACUGGGAGUGGGACACGGCCCGGACUACUACGCGAGGCAGCAGUGGGGAAUCUUAGACAAUGGGGGCAACCCUGAUCUCGCCAUGCCGCGUGAGUGAUGAAGGCCUUAGGGUUGUAAAGCUCUUUCAGCUGGGACGAUAAUGACGGUACCAGCAGAAGAAGCCCCGGCUAACUCCGUG
rnacentral:rRNA from 1 species